GCAAAAAUAGCUCAAUGGUAGAGUAUAACCUUGGAAUUGG
rnacentral:tRNA from 1 species